rnacentral:RNase_P_RNA from 1 species
UGGGUUGGCUAGGCGGCCGCGCGUCACGCAAGUGGCUCGAGGAACGUCCGGGCUCCGCAGGGCAAGGUGGUGGGUAACACCCACUCGGGGUAACCCGCAGGAAAGUGCCACAGAAAACAGACCGCCGGCCGGCAGCAUGGAAACAUGUGCGCAGGCAGGUAAGGGUGAAACGGUGGUGUAAGAGACCACCAGUUCCCUGGGCGACCAGGGAAGCUAGGUAAACCCCACCGGGAGCAAGGCCAGACAGGGCAUGUUUGAGGGCUGCCCGCCCAAGUGUCCGGGUAGGCCGCUAGAGGGCGUCGGCAACGGCGUUCGUAGAUGGAUGGCCGCUACUCCCGCAUCGGUAACGGCGCGGGAUGACAGAACCCGGCGUAUCGGCCAACCCAUCCA